AUGCUUAACUGCAAGCCCACCGUCACGCCUGUUGAUACGAAGGCCAAGCUUUCUGCCACGAAUGGUUCUCCUGCUUUAGAUGCUGCCUUCUACCGGUCUAUUGUUGGUGCUCUCCAGUACCUCACUCUGACUCGACCAGAGAUCCAGUAUGCCGUGCAGCAGGUGUGUCUCCAUAUGCAUGCUCCUCGGGACAUUCACUGGGCCACUGUCAAGCGGAUUCUCCGCUAUGUCUGUGGCACUAUGGAUCUUGGCGUCACGCUUCACGCCUCCGCCUACAUCGCCCUCACUGCCUACUCCGAUGCAGACUGGGCGAGCUUCCCUGACACUCGUCGCUCCACCUCGGGCUAUUGUGUCUAUCUUGGACCCUCACUUAUCUCGUGGUCGUCCAAGCGGCAGCCUACGGUCUCUCGUUCCAGUGCUGAGGCUGAGUAUCGUGCGGUGGCCAACAUCGUCGCCGAGUGCUCAUGGCUUCGCCAGCUGCUUCAAGAGCUCUCCUGCCCUGUUGACCGUGCCACGGUGGUCUAUUACGACAACAUCUCGGCGGUCUACCUCUCCUUUAAUCAUGUGCAUCAUCGACGGACCAAGCAUAUUGAGUUGGAUAUUCAUUUUGUUCGGGAACAGGUGGCCUUUGGCCAUAUUCGUGUUUUACACGUCCCUACUUCCCAAUAA
rnacentral:rRNA from 1 species